rnacentral:lncRNA from 1 species
UUGGGCUCUUUAGAGUCUUUGUUUUUUGGAGUACUUGGAGACCCUUCCUAGAACCAUCAGAUCUAAAUUAAACUGUACGGCUGAGAUGGGUGACAGGUGUUUUUUUUUAUUAAAAUAAAAAACUACCGUAUAGAUCAGCAAACAUACGGUACCGUAUACAGGCUUGUGUCCCGGACAAAUAGGCAUUCAAAUGACAGUUACCUCUAUCUUGUUCCCCCAAAAUCACUCCUCUAAAUCAAAACCGAAGNAAUGACAGUUACCUCUAUCUUGUUCCCCCAAAAUCACUCCUCUAAAUCAAAAUCGAAGAUUUCAGAAGAUAAGCAUUGACGAGAAGCACGAUUCUAGACGACAUCGGAACC